AAAAAGGGCCGUGAACAGUUUUUCCUGGUUUCCGGGUGAUGGGGUCUUGCACUUGUCUUUGGUGACCAGGGUGCCAAACCUCUUGGGAGUGGGGGCACCUUAAAAGACCCCACGGCGCCACGGGCUCCAAGGAACAUGAUAUGUUCCUUCCAUGGGCGUGGACCGGCUUUUGGGUUCCACUUUUUCCAAGAAUUAUUGAUAAUCCUCAGGAUUCUGGGCAACGGAUAUCUUGGUUCUCGCAUCGAUGAAGAAAGUAGCAAAAUGCGAUCCUUGGUGCAAAUGCAGAAUCCUGGAACCAUGGAGUUUGAACGCAAGUUGCGCCUGAGGCCUUUUGGGGCACGUUGCCUUGGGCGUCAUGCCAAAAGCCAUUCCACACCUUCAAUGUUGUGGAGGUGGUAUUUGGUCCCCUUGCCUCUAGGCAUGGGGGGCCUAAGUAUGGGAUGCUGAUGAUGCCGAUCACAGCACAAGGUGGAUGGCGAAAGUUGUUCUCAGUGCUGUUUCGGUCUGCAUUUUGGUGAUACCCUUAGCACCCACGAGAUUGAAGCGCACAUUGCUCGGACCGCGACCCCAGGUCAGUCGGGAAUUCCCCGGCUUA
rnacentral:rRNA from 1 species